rnacentral:lncRNA from 1 species
UAAAUAAAUCUUAAAUAAAUCUUAAUCAAAUCCUAAUUUAAUAUCAAUUAAAAUCCUAAUGGACCUUAACUAAAUCUAAGGUCAAAUCCUAACUAAAUCCUAAAUCCUAAAUCAAAUCCUAGACAAACCUUAAACCCUACACAAACCUUAAAUGCUAAACCAAAUCUUAGACAAAUUCUAAAUCCUAAAUUAAACCUUAGAAAAAUCUUAAGUUUUAAACAAAUUCUAAAUCUUAAACCAAAUCCUAAACAAAUCCUAAACAAAUCCUAACCAACUCAAACUAAUCCUAAUGUAGAAUAGAACCUCAAUAUCUAUUGAUUAAAUAAUUUAUAUUAAUUAAAAAUUUAUACACCUUUCAACUUCUUAGUCAAAAAUAAGUACAAAAAAUUUGAAGGUAAUCACUUUUACCAAAUGGAAGAAAAAUCCUAAAAUCCUCUUGGGUGUUGGCCAACCUCCUACUCUAAUUUCAGUAUUGAACUUCCAAUACCGAUUUCCCAUUUUUGAACUAUUGAAUUUCUCUCAAAAUUUACUUUAAAUGUUGGAAAUCAAGUCUAGUCUCUAUACAAAAAAAAGUCACUCUAAUCCAAUUGAAAUAUUCCUAAAGAUCUCAAAAAUACUCAUUGACCCUCAAACUCCAAUUAUUGAGACCUCAACCUAUAAAAACUUUCACACACUUUAAUUUAAUUAUAUGAUUGACU